UAGGGAAUCUUCCACGAUGGGCGAAAGCCUGAUGGAGCAACGCCGCGUGUGUGAUGAAGGGUUUCGGCUCGUAAAACACUGUUGUAAGAGAAGAAUGACAUUGAGAGUAACUGUUCAAUGUGUGACGGUAUCUUACCAGAAAGGAACGGCUAAAUACGCGCCAG
rnacentral:rRNA from 1 species